GCUGGCGUAGCUCAACUGGUAGAGCAGCUGAUUUGUAAUCAGCAGGUUGCGGGUUCAAGUCCCUUCGCCAGCU
rnacentral:tRNA from 1 species